UAUUGCCUUUAAGCUAAUUCUGUUGUUUUGUGAUAUUAAUAAUGCUAAUAUAUUCAUAUUUUUCUAAUUUUGCUUCGUUAGCCAGAAAACAUAAGUACUGGAAAACGUUGUUAACAGAGAACAUACUGUAGGUACCGGAGAACAUAGUUGUGGACCCAUUUCUUAAACAUUUUUCCAAACUAAGGUGGGUCAAGAAGCUGCCUAAACAUGUAGGAUUUAAAUUAUUUUUAAUUUUUUACACAGAAACCUUCUUCAGUUUGACCAAACUUUCCCUUCAAUACCGAGACAAAAAAUAUGAACUGAACUGACAGGAUURUUGUUUUUAUUUUUCCUCCCCCCUUUUUAAAAUAACUACAUAUUUAUCUAUUUUUACAAAAAGUUACACUUUUUUGUAGUAAAAAAAUCAAGCUCUUGUGCUUAUAUUU